rnacentral:rRNA from 2 species
UUGGAGGGCAAGUCUGGUGCCAGCAGCCGCGGUAAUUCCAGCUCCAAUAGCGUAUAUUAAAGUUGUUGCAGUUAAAAAGCUCGUAGUUGAAUUUCGAGACCGGUCUACUGGUCGUGCUUUUGUACGUACUGGUUUUAUUGGUUUCUCCUUUCUGACGAACUAUAAUGCCAUUAAUUUGGUGUUAUAGGGAAUCAGGACUGUUACUUUGAAAAAAUUAGAGUGUUUAAAGCAGGCUCACGCUUGAAUACAUUAGCAUGGAAUAACGGAAUAGGACGUUUGAUUUUAUUUUGUUGGUUUCUAGGAUCGACGUAAUGAUUAAUAGGGAUAGUUGGGGGCAUUAGUAUUCAAUUGUCAGAGGUGAAAUUCUUGGAUUUAUUGAAGACUAACUACUGCGAAAGCAUUUGCCAAGGAUGUUUUCAUUAAUCAAGAACGAAAGUUAGGGGAUCGAAGACGAUCAGAUACCGUCGUAGUCUUAACCAUAAACUAUGCCGACUAGGGAUCGGAUGAUGUUAAUUUUUUAAUGACUCAUUCGGCGCCUUACGGGAAAC